GGAAACGGGAAACGGGGAACGGGGAGCGGGGAGCCUCGACCCGCCCCCGCCCCUGCCCUCAUCGCGCGGGUACCGGCACCGCCGAGAGACAGCGGCAAACAGCCCCGGCCUGGAGCUGAGAGCGCCCCGCUCCGCGUAGAUAGCAGCUCCUGGUGCUACUCUCGGGUGGGAGAUUGGAUUUUUGAUACUGGUUUGUUUUUUUUUUUUAAUCAGUCUUCUGGUUGUAAAGUAAUUAUCUGACCGCUUGAAUUGAUAUUUUAUUCCAAGUGCUGAAGAGUAAGGGUUCAGGACUAACCGUGCCCUAGAUCCCUUGUACCCUGUACUGGGCUGACACAGCUCAGUGUUUCUGAGGGAGAGUUUCUGCAGCACAAGACAAAAUGUAAGCUAUGCUGUGGUCAUUAAGCUGUGUCCUUGUGCAGAGUGUUCCUUCAUGGCAGCUGACAACUGUUGAAUCCGGGUAGCUGUGGUUCAUGUUUCCUGCCCAUCCCCAUCCUCGUCCAUGCAUUCAGGUGAUUGAUUCAGCGUUCAAGCUGGAGGGGCUGCCUGAGCUGUCUUACUGCGCAGUCACUGGUGUCAGCAAGAGCCACAGUCUGCCUAACUGCACUGGGAGCUGGGAAGCCAUGCUGUGUUAAACUGCUGCCUCAGGACACCACAGAUGAGCCUGGAGAACUGACUGGCACUGGGAAAUGUGAGCCAAGGGGAACAAGUUUGAGACAGGUGAACUGGCAGAUGCUUGUACAAAGGCCGCCAUGAAGAGGAGGGCUUUUGUUUGCUGUGUGAUUCUGCCUCAUUGCCUCACAACAGAAGACAAAUGUCUUGGUGUUUGUACAGCAGAAUGGUAUCAACAAAGCACCUUCUGAGCUUGCAACGUGUGCCAACAGAAGCCCAUGUGCAAUAUGGAAGACUAUACUAGAUAAGGGGGUUCCAGCAUAGUGCUGGUAAAUACCACUCAGGGUGGAAAUGGAGCUCAGUGCAGGAGAAGUGUGGGGGUGUCUGAACUCAAAAGCAGAAACUGUUGAGUUUUUAGGAAGAUCUUGCUUUUUGUUUGACCUAAGCAUGCACUGACCUGAUUUGUCAGCCCACUUGUUUCCCAAGACAGGCCUUUUUGAAGGAAAAAGUAUGUUUUUAGGGAGACAAGAUAGCUGCCCAGAAUAAUCCUCUCCAACUUCCCACCAAGGACUUUGUUGCUGGAGGUACUGUAUUUUUCCACAUGCACAGAGUACUGCGAGACUUAAGGGCAAAAUUGCCUAUGCCUGUCUCUAUUCCAGAAGAUUCUGUUCUAUAACAGAUUUGCAACACAAAGGAUAGGAAUAAAGCACCCAUUUUACUUGUUUGCCUGGGCAGCUAAGGAUUACAUUCCAGGGAACAAAAAACGGAAAAUAAAACAAAGCAAACAAACAAACAAAACAGAAUACACCCCAAGAAAAGGAAAAAAAAAAAAGAACAAAAGAAACAAAAAAAACCAAUUACAAAGAUUUAAACAUCCAGUAUUAAAAACUGAUUACAUGGUCAGACCUGUGUAACAUUUAUGUACGGUGCAUAUAGUUAUCUCACCUGUGGGCUUCAGACAUUACUCAUUAUGUUUAAAGGCUUUGGAUUUGUCUGUCAUUUAUGAUCACUGCUUUGUAAAUAAUAACAGCAAGUGACUUGAUAAAUGGAGAAUUCAUUUCAGCUAUUUUUGUUACUACUGGGGGCUUGGAAGUGUCCUUUACAUAAUCUAGAGAAGCAGCAGCAGUGAUAGAAACAUCCAGUUUGUCGCUUAUGUUUCCCUUGUAUUUCUUUCUGUUGACCCAAGAACUAAAAUUUGUGCAAUCAUGUCCAAAAUGCUUUGCUGCAGUGAUUAUGCCUUUAUUCUGCCUGAUGAAAAGCCUCCUGCAGAGGUUGUUCUUUAGCACCUCUCUUCUACAUAUUUGCCAAAAAAGGAGUACUUUCCAUAGCCUCAUUUACUUCCCAGAAUCAAAGGAUUUGGGGGUUAAUAAUGUUUGUCCAUUUAAACUUUCCCCACACCUUGCAGAUACCCUAUAAGAACAUGCAGUUAGGAACUGGUUUUGUGUGAGGAAAUAGCUCAAAAUAACAUUCUAUCCCAGCUGUCUCAUGCCAUAUCCUGUGCAUACACUUUUGUUUUUGGCAUAACUACACAGAUGAGUUACAGUGAAAUAAUAAGGGCGUGACUUUACAAGGUAACUACUGCAUUUCAAAACCACUGGUUUACAUGUUUUCACAUACUGUUAAUACCAGGAAAUGUUCUUUCUCAUUCUCCCUUGAGGAUAAUUACCAGCCAUUUUGAAAAAAAUAAUAGUGAAGACAAUGAUACUAUGAGUAGAACCUUAUUUCUUCACUUGUUCUUAAAACAGUGAAAACUUUUAGUGAAUCUGCAUUGGAAUUAAUUUGAGUGAAGUUAUUUAAAGGUACUUACACAGUAAUAUUUUUCUUCCAGGAAUAUGGGAAGUACUGGGGUAGGACAAAUAUCUGUACAGACUGGAGCUUUGCAUUUGAAGUCUCACCCAGGUUAGUCUAAGUGGCUUACGUUAGCCUCGCUUUGAAGAGAGAAACCCUAAGGAGGCCAAAGGUUGGUCUGCAGCGAACUUGUGCAGUUACCAUUCAUCACUUGCAAACACAUUUUACAGUGUUUACCUCACACAGAUACACUAGCAGCGACCCAAGCUUCUGGCAUAGAUACAGUUAGGUCAGCAGACACAUAGAAAGGCAGCUUUUGAACAUUUUGGUUGCAUUUGUUAUGAAAAAAUGUUGCUAAUUAUAUGGGAAGAUGGCCACUUCCAAAUGAAUUUAAUAAAAGCUGUAGUGCUUGUAUGGCUGUUUGCAGUCUGCCUGUGCUGUGAGCUCAGCAUUCUACAUUUGGUGGGCAGGUGCCAAUGGCUCUGCAAGUAUUUGUUCCUGAUCAAGUAGUCACUUUUAGUGGUGGAUUAACAAUUCCUUCUCCUAAUGAGGAUUGUAAACAAACAUAGACAUAUUGGAUUCUCAUAAAACAAUGUUCACUUGUUCCAGCUCAGAAACUGGUGAGUGCUGGCAGGGUAGCAGGUGUUAGACAAUGCUGCUGCAGGCUGCCUCCAGCCAAUUUCCAUCAAGCUCAAAUGAGCAUGUUGUUCAAGCCUGCAAACUUUAAAAAUGGCAGCAUAUUUUAAAUGCAAAAAAUAAUUUGAAGGUGCACAUAAAUUGUCAGAGCUGGUGAAGGUCAUGGUCUUGCCCACCUUUCCAUGCCCCCUUCUUGCCUGGUGCUACUGUGAGUCCCCAUGAGCCCACCAGCUACCCUGAAUGUUUCUCUAUUUCCUCUCAGAUACACCAGCUGGGUUUACCCUGUGACCAGACAGACAUUCAUGCUGGCAUAAGCAUGCUCAUGGGAAGAAUGAGGAGGAGAAAAAUGUCCUGCUUUCCAUUCUGAUCUCUAGCAUCAAUGAAAAAGUGAAAGACCAGUAAAAAUGUAAAUGCUGGGGGAAAAAAGCUGUUUUUCUGGGCAUGUACUGGUGCCUGCAGAGGUUGGUCUUCGUCACCAGUUGUCUUGCUGCGGGCCAGCCCUGUGAUGAGUACAGUUAAAAAAUAGCUCUUCAUGGCAGCUUCAUUUGUGGGUUUUUUUCUGUCAUUCUUCCUUUUGUGAGCUGCCACUCUUCCUUUCAUGUUGCUCUACUGCUGCAGUAUUCAUCUUGCCUGUGCCAUGCUGUGCUGUGAAACAACCUGCCAGGCUGCUGCUUGGACCGUGCUCCCUGCCAGCACAACACUCAAAAGGCUUCGCUGAUCUGGAAAAUCUCUGUGUACUCAAUUCUUUGUUUCACUGUUAUGGGUAGGUUUCAAAAGAUGUGAAGAGAUCAUGGUCUGGAAAAAUACACUGUAUUAUAGUUUGGUUGCCUAAUUCAAUUCAUGAGUCUGAUUGCUUUUGUGCUUGUAAAAAUUAACUGCCUUCUCAGUUCCUUUUGGUUUUGUCUGUUGCAAGUAGAUCUCUCAUGUUGCAUAAGAAAGUCACAUGGAACUUCAUAAAGUUAUUCUAUAAGGUCA